GGCCCGAACUUGAAGUAGAGUAGAUACGAACGAUCAUCUGUCCCUAUUAAACUACUCUACUUUGAGUUUGUGCCC
rnacentral:pre_miRNA from 1 species